rnacentral:rRNA from 1 species
AGCAGCCGCGGUAAUUCCAGCUCCAAUAGCGUAUAUUAAAGUUGUUGCAGUUAAAAAGCUCGUAGUUGAAUUUCGGGGUUAGUAGGUUGGUCGUGCCACUGGUAUGUACUGGUUCUACUGAUCCCUCCUUCUUGUAGAACCGUAAUGCCAUUCACUUGGUGUUGCGGGGAAACAGGACUGUUACUUUGAAAAAAUUAGAGUGUUUAAAGCAGGCUAACGCUUGAAUACAUUAGCAUGGAAUAAUGAAAUAGGACGUUCGAUCCUAUUUUGUUGGUUUCUAGGAUUGACGUAAUGAUUAAUAGGGAUAGUUGGGGGCAUUAGUAUUCAAUUGUCAGAGGUGAAAUUCUUGGAUUUAUUGAAGACUGACUACUGCGAAAGCAUUUGCCAAGGAUGUUUUCAUUAAUCAAGACGAAAGUUAGGGGAUCGAAGACGAUCAGAUACCGUCGUAGUCUUAACCAUAAACUAUGCCGACUAGGGAUCGGAUGAUGUUAAUUUUUUAAUGUACUCAUUCGGCGCCUUA